AUUGAACGCCGGCGGCAGGCCUAACACAUGCAAGUCGAGCGGUAGAGAGGUGCUUGCACCUCUUGAGAGCGGCGGACGGGUGAGUAAUGCCUAGGAAUCUGCCUGGUAGUGGGGGAUAACGUCCGGAAACGGACGCUAAUACCGCAUACGUACUACGGGAGAAGGCAGGGGACCUUAGGGCCUCGCGCUAUCAGAUGAGCCUAGGUCGGAUUAGCUAGUUGGUGGGGUAAUGGCUCACCAAGGCGACGAUCCGUAAAUGGUCUGUGAGUAUGAGCAGUCACACUGGGACUGUGACACGGACCAGACGCCUACGGGAGGCAGCAGUGGGGAAUAUUGGACAAUGGGCAGAAGCCUGAUCCGUCCAUGUCGCGUGUGUGAAGAGUGUCUUCGGAUUGUAAAUCACUUUAAGUUGGGAGGAAGGGUACUUACCUAAUGCGUGAGUAUUUUGACGUUACCGACAGAGUAAGCACCGGCUAACUCUGUGCCAGCGGCCGCCGUAAUAC
rnacentral:rRNA from 1 species